UACGGAGGAUCCGAGCGUUAUCCGGAAUUAUUGGGUUUAAAGGGUGCGUAGGCGGCCAUUUAAGUCAGUGGUGAAAGCCUGCAGCUUAACUGCAGAACUGCCAUUGAUACUGAUAGUCUUGAGUUUGGUUAAGGUAGGCGGAAUGUGUAAUGUAGUGGUGAAAUGCUUAGAUAUUACACAGAACACCGAUUGCGAAGGCAGCUUGCUGGGCCAUUACUGACGCUGAUGCACGAAAGUGUGGGGAUCAAACAGGA
rnacentral:rRNA from 1 species